ensembl:misc_RNA 7SK 7SK RNA
GGAUGUGAGGAUGAUCUGGCUGCCACAUCUGUCAUGCCAUUGAUUGCCAGGGUUGGUUUGACAUGAACUUGCUGGGGAACAUGUCCCCUUCUUCUCACUGCUCCAUGUGUGUCCCUGCUGAAACUGCACUCCCCUGCUAAAAAGUCUAAACAAGCUCUCAAGGUCCAUUUAUCAGAGAAUGUAGUUAGGCUUUUAAGACUCAAAUACAUCCAGAUGAGGUGCUGCAUAUGGCACUCUGCAUUUCUUU